rnacentral:rRNA from 1 species
GGAUUAGAUACCCUGGUAGUCCACGCCGUAAACGAUGGACACUAGUUGUUGGGAUUUAUCUCAGUGACCAAGCGAAAGUGAUAAGUGUCCCACCUGGGGAGUACGGUCGCAAGAUUGAAACUCAAAGGAAUUGACGGGGGCCCGCACAAGCGGUGGAGCAUGUGGUUUAAUUCGAUGAUACGCGAGGAACCUUACCAGGGCUUAAAUGUAGGAUGCAUUAGCUAGAGAUAGCUAUUUCUUCGGACUUCUUACAAGGUGCUGCAUGGUUGUCGUCAGCUCGUGCCG